CCCGUCAGCGUCCACGGAGUCGCUACCCCAGCAGGGUCGAGGAGGCUGCAGCUGCAGCCGGGAGCCCAUAGCCCGCACCUCCAGCCCGCUCCGGGGCGCCCCAGGCCGCACGAUGGUGAAGGUGACGUUCAACUCGGCUCUGGCCCAGAAGGACGCCAAGAAGGACGAGCCGAAGAGCGGUGAGGAGGCGCUCAUCAUCCCCCCGGACGCCGUCGCCUUGGACUGCAAGGACCCAGAUGAUGUGGUACCAGUUGGCCAGAGAAGAGCCUGGUGUUGGUGCAUGUGCUUUGGACUAGCAUUUAUGCUUGCAGGAGUCAUUCUUGGUGGAGCAUACCUGUACAAAUAUUUUGCACUUCAACCAGAUGACGUGUACUACUGUGGAAUAAAGUACAUCAAAGAUGAUGUCAUCCUAAAUGAGCCUUCUGCAGAUGCCCCAGCUGCUCGCUACCAGACAACUGAAGAAAAUAUUAAGAUCUUUAAAGAAGAUGAGGUCAAAUUCAUCAGUGUGCCUGUUCCAGAAUUUGCAGAUAGUGAUCCUGCCAACAUUGUUCAUGAUUUUAACAAGAAACUCACUGCCUAUUUAGAUCUUAACCUGGAUAAGUGCUAUGUGAUCCCCCUGAAUACUUCCAUUGUUAUGCCUUCCAGAAACCUGUUGGAGUUACUCAUUAACAUCAAGGCUAGAACCUAUUUGCCUCAGUCAUACCUGAUUCAUGAACACAUGGUUACUACUGAUCGAAUUGAAAAUAUUGAUGGCUUGGGUUUCUUUAUUUAUCGACUGUGCCAGGACAAGGAAACUUACAAAUUGCAGCGCAGAGAAACUAUUAAAGGUAUUCAGAAACGUGAAGCCAGCGAUUGUAUCACAAUUCGGCAUUUUGAAAACAAAUUUGCUGUGGAAACUUUAAUUUGCUCUUGAACAGCCAAGAAAAACAUGGAGAAAAAUUUAAUGCCACAGCAUAACCAUACCCUUUGUAUUUUGUGCAGUGAUUAUUUUUAAAAAUCUUCUUUCAUGUAAGUAGCAAACAGGGCCUCACUAUCUUUUUAUCUCAUUAAUUCAAUUAAAAACAUCUUUAAAAAAAUACCCUUCUUUCUAAGUGUAGUGUCUUUUAUGUUUGAAUUUGUAAGUAUAUGAAGUCUAGAUGAUAGUCCACCAUAGAUCUUAAGUAUUAGGAAAAAUUAAAAUUUCUUUAAAUCAUUUAUCUGGAUUUGUUUUACUCAUGCAUUUUCAAGAGAAGGGGUUAUAUAAAGAAUAAUCAUAUAUGCAUAUAUUAAAAUGGACCACCGUGACUUAUUUGUAGUGUUAGUUGCCCUGCUACCUAGUUUAUUAGAGCAUUUAAGCACAAAUUUUUUCCCUUAAUUAAAAUGCAGUAUUUUCAUUGUUGCAUUUAACUAUUUAGAGUAUGAUUUCCACCUUGAUGUUUCAUUAUCCCAGGCAUCUGCUGUAAUAAUAUUUUAGAAAUUGUUUGGAAUUUAAGAAAUAACUUGUGUUACUAAUUUGUAUAACCUAUAUCUGUGCAAUGAAUUAUAAAUAUCACAAAG